GAUGAACGCUGGCGGUGUGCCUAAUACAUGCAAGUCGAGCGAACAGACGAGGAGCUUACUCCUCUGACGUUAGCGGCGGACGGGUGAGUAACACGUGGAUAACCUACCUAUAAGACUGGGAUAACUUCGGGAAACCGGAGCUAAUACCGGAUAACAUGUUGAACCGCAUGGUUCAACAGUGAAAGACGGUCUUGCUGUCACUUAUAGAUGGAUCCGCGUCGCAUUAGCUAGUUGGUAAGGUAACGGCUUACCAAGGCAACGAUGCGUAGCCGACCUGAGAGGGUGAUGGGCCACACUGGAACUGAGACACGGUCCAGACUCCUACGGGAGGCAGCAGUAGGGAAUCUUCCGCAAUGGGCGAAAGCCUGACGGAGCAACGCCGCGUGAGUGAAGAAGGGCUUCGGAUCGUAAAACUCUGUUAUUAGGGAAGAACAAAUGUGUAAGUAACUAUGCACGUCUUGACGGUACCGAAACAGAAAGCCACGGCUAACUACGU
rnacentral:rRNA from 1 species